rnacentral:rRNA from 1 species
UAUAAAUGUAAAUUUUUUUCUUAAGUAGUAUUAGUUAUGAUCUUGAAAUUUAAAAAUUUUGGCGGUGUUUUAGUCUAUUCAGAGGAACCUGUCCUAUAAUCGAUAGUCCACGAUAGAUUGUACUUUAUUUAAUAGUUUAUAUAUCGUCGUUUUUAAGUAUUUUAUAAGAAUAUUAAUAUUUAAUAGUUUAGAUAAAAAUUUAUGUCAGAUCAAGGUGUAGCAUAUAGUAAAGAAGAGAUGGGUUACAAUAAAUUUAUUUAUAUGAAUUUGUAUAUGAAAAUAUAUAAUAAAGGUGGAUUUGAUAGUAAUGGGCUUUAUAUAAAGUUUGUGAUUUUAGCUCUAAAAUGUGU